rnacentral:rRNA from 1 species
CUACGGGGGGCUGCAGUGGGGAAUAUUGCACAAUGGGCGCAAGCCUGAUGCAGCAACGCCGCGUGGGGGAUGAAGGCCUUCGGGUUGUAAACCCCUUUUAGUAGGGAAGAAGCGAAAGUGACGGUACCUACAGAAAAAGCGCCGGCUAACUACGUGCCAGCAGCCGCGGUAAUACGUAGGGCGCAAGCGUUGUCCGGAAUUAUUGGGCGUAAAGAGCUCGUAGGCGGUUUGUCGCGUCUGCUGUGAAAUCCCGAGGCUCAACCUCGGGCCUGCAGUGGGUACGGGCAGACUAGAGUGUGGUAGGGGAGACUGGAAUUCCUGGUGUAGCGGUGGCAUGCGCAGAUAUCAGGAGGAACACCAAUGGCGAAGGCAGGUCUCUGGGCCAUAACUGACGCUGAGGAGCGAAAGCGUGGGGAGCGAACAGGAUUAGAUACCCGAGUAGUC